rnacentral:rRNA from 1 species
AACAAACGCUGGCGGCGUGCCUAACACAUGCAAGUCGUACGAGAAAGUCGGCUUCGGCCGAUGAGUACAGUGGCGCACGGGUGAGUAACGCGUGGGUAAUCUGCCCCCCGGUCAGGAAUAACCCGCCGAAAGGCGGGCUAAUACCCGAUAACCCUGACGCUCUGCGGAGUGUCUUUCAAAGAAGGCCUCUGUUUACAAGCUUUCGCCGGAGGCUGAGCCCGCGUACCAUUAGCUAGUUGGCAGGGUAAUGGCCUACCAAGGCAACGAUGGUUAGCUGGUCUGAGAGGAUGGCCAGCCACACUGGAACUGAGACACGGUCCAGACUCCUACGGGAGGCAGCAGUGAGGAAUCUUGCGCAAUGGGGGAAACCCUGACGCAGCAACGCCGCGUGAGUGAAGAAGGCCUUCGGGUCGUAAAGCUCUGUCAGAUGGGAAGAAAUGGAUGGGGGCUAAUAUCGUCCAUCCUUGACGGUACCAUCAGAGGAAGCACCGGCUAACUCCGUGCCAGCCGCCGCGGUAA